AUUGAACGCUGGCGGCAGGCCUAACACAUGCAAGUCGAACGAGUGGCGGACGGGUGAGUAAUGUCUGGGAAACUGCCUGCUGGAGGGGGAUAACUCCUGGAAACGGUAGCUAAUAUCGCAUACCAUCGGAUGUGCCCAGAUGGGAUUAGCUAGUAGGUGGGGUAAAGGCUCACCGAGGCGACGAUCCCUAGCUGGUCUGAGAGGAUGACCAGCCACACUGGAACUGAGAAACGGUCCAGACGCCGACGGGAGGCAGGAGUGGGGAAUAUUGUACAAUGGGAGCAAGCCUGAUGCAGCCAUGCCGCGUGGAUGAAGAAGGCCUUCGGGUUUUAAAGUACUUGCAGCGGGGAGGCGUUACCCGCAGAAGAAGCACCGGCUAACUCCGUGCCAGCAGCCGCGGUAAUUC
rnacentral:rRNA from 1 species